GAUGAAGAAAGUAGCGAAAUGCGAUACUUGGUGUGAAUUGCAGAAUCCCGUGAACCAUCGAGUCUUUGAACGCAAGUUGCGCCCGAAGCCAUCAGGUUGAGGGCACGUCUGCCUGGGCGUCACAUAUCGUUGCCCAAUGCCUAUUGCAGUGCAAUAGGAAUUUCUAGGGCGAAUGAUGGCUUCCCGUGAGCGUUGUUGCCUCGCGGUUGGUUGAAAAUCGAGUCCUUGGUAGGGUGUGCCAUGGUAGAUGGUGGUCGAGUUAGAACGAUACCGAUCAUGUGCAUGCUCCCCAAAAUAUGGCCUCUAUGACCCACACGCGUCUUUUGACGCUCAUGACGAGACCUCAGGUCAGGCGGGGCUACCCGCUGAAUUUAAGCAUAUCAAUAAGCGGAGGA
rnacentral:misc_RNA from 1 species